rnacentral:rRNA from 1 species
UACAGAGGGGGCAAGCGUUGUUCGGAAUUACUGGGCGUAAAGGGCGCGUAGGCGGCCCGCUAAGUCGAACGUGAAAUCCCCGGGCUUAACCCGGGAACUGCGUCCGAUACUGGCAGGCUUGAAUCCGGGAGAGGGAUGUGGAAUUCCAGGUGUAGCGGUGAAAUGCGUAGAUAUCUGGAGGAACACCGGUGGCGAAGGCGGCAUCCUGGACCAACACUGACUCUGAGGAGCGAAAGCCAGGGGAGCAAACGGG